rnacentral:rRNA from 1 species
GACGAACGCUGGCGGCGUGCCUAAUACAUGCAAGUCGAGCGGAGCGGCGAACGGGUGAGUAACGCGUGAGUAACUGCCCCCCUCUCUGGGCUAACAGUUGGAAACGGCUGCUAAUACCGGAUAGUGGGGGAUGACUCGCGUUCUCUCAGCUUGUUGGUGGGGUAGUGGCCUACCAAGGCGACGACGGGUCGCCGGCCUGGGAGGGCGACCGGCCAAAGUGGGCUGAGAUACGACCCAAACCCCUACUGGAGGCAGCAGUGGGGAAUAUUGCACAAUGGGGGAAACCCUGAUGCAGCAACGUCGCGUGCGGGAUGACGGCCUUCGGGUUGUAAACCGCUUUCAGCUAUGACGCGGUAGUGGCAGAAGAAGCACCGGCUAACUACGUGCCAGCAGCCGCGGUAAUAC